rnacentral:rRNA from 1 species
CACCUCUAGCAUUACUAGUAUUAGAGGCACUGCCUGCCCGGUGACAUACGUUUAACGGCCGCGGUACCCUGACCGUGCAAAGGUAGCAUAAUCACUUGUUCUUUAAAUGGGGACUCGCAUGAAAGGCACCACGAGGGUUUAACUGUCUCUUACUUUCAACCAGUGAAAUUGACCUGCCCGUGAAGAGACGGGCAUGAAACAAUAAGACGAGAAGACCCUAUGGAGCUUUAAUUUAUUAAUGCAAUCAAAAACCUCACAAACCCACGGACCUCUAAACUACUACACCUGCAUUAAAAAUUUUGGUUGGGGCGACCUCGGAGCAUAAUAAAACCUCCGAACAACACAUGCCAAGACCACACAAGUCAAAGCGAACUAACCCAUAAUUGAUCCAAUAACUUGAUCAACGGAACAAGUUACCCUAGGGAUAACAGCGCAAAUUCUAUUCUAGAGUCCAUAUCGACAAUAGAGCUUACGACCUCGAUGUUGGAUCAGGACAUCCUAAAUGGUGCAGCAGCUAUCAGGGUUCGUUUGUUCAACGAUUAAAGUCCUAC